CCAUCUCUAUUCUCAGUGAGUUUGUUACCCGCCCUUCCCAAGCCCUGCCUACUGUCGUGUCGUCGCCACCUCAUCAAGGAGGUGAGUCUCUCAAUCCUCCGUCUGCCUCGCUUUCUCUAUCUUCAUGUGUAUGUGCGCCUCUCUCUCUCUCUCUCUCUCUCUCUCUCUCUCUCUCUCUCUCUCUCUCUCUCUCUCUCUCUCGGUUCCAUCUUCUUAUGUGGGGAAUCUCGACCGGAGCGUGGAUGAGGGGCUGCUACCUAAUGAAUGGCUCUGUGUUCUUCAAUUUUUUUCCCUCCCAUUUUAGGUAAAUGAUAUUCACAUGAAAUGGUAGUGGAGUUGGAAGGAAUUGGUGGUGGUGGAAAGAUACAGCUAGAGGCUUGUUCCUUAACUAUAGUUACUUUUAGUUGUUCCUUUGUGCUUUUGAAAUCAGUUUCUUAUUGAGUGAUUGUUGUCUUAGGAAUCAGAUAAUGGCAAGAACUUGGUUGGCUCAAAGAUUAAGUUAUUCUCUUUUGCUAAGACACACAACAAAGGAAGCAAUUGCUGCAUGCAUAGAGGCAAUUGAACCAGCUCGGGCUGCAUUGACAUCUCAGUUGUGGAACACAGUGAUAAAUGAUCUCAUGGAAGGUUUAACAAAACAUGGUUGGUUUACAGAACUUGAUAUUGCUGGUGAACCACCUCCUGUGAGAUUUUCUUUGAUGGAAUGGAUCAAGCAAGCCAAGGAAGUUCAAGCAAUGGUUUUUAUUGCAAGUUUUGAUUACCAUCCAUUUAUUUUCUAGUGGAGGAAUAUUACAUUUGUUUCUUUUUCUUUGAGUCUCAAAAACAUGAUAGCUUACUACUAAUUUUUUAUGCAUGGAUUUGGUGUUAUUUUUUUUAAAUGAAAAAAUCACCUUUAAUAAAAUAUACUACUCUGAACACAGCUAAUAUGUGGAAUGGACAUCGUCUUCUUUGCACUCACUCUUUUUGAA